rnacentral:rRNA from 1 species
GCAAGUCGCACGAGAACGCUUCAGCUUGCUGAAGUUAGUAAAGUGGCGCACGGGUGAGUAACGCGUGGGUAAUCUUCCCCCGAAUUUGGGAUAACAUUGCGAAAGCGAUGCUAAUACCGGAUAAUAUCUUUAAUACUUUGGUAUCUAAGAUCAAAGGUGGCCUCUACAUGUAAGCUAUUGUUUGGGGAUGAGCCCGCGUACCAUUAGCUUGUUGGUAGGGUAACGGCCUACCAAGGCAGCGAUGGUUAGCUGGUCUGAGAGGAUGAUC